ensembl:lncRNA
GGUACGUCUGAGAGGUGGUUCCGGCAUGCCCGGCAGGUGAUUCCGGAGUGUCCGGCAUGUGGUUCUGGCACCUCUGAGAGGCGGUUCCGGCAUGCCCGGCAAGUGGUUCCAGAGUGUCUGCCGAGUGGUUAUGGCGAAGCCGGCAGGUGAUUUUGGCGUGUCCAGCAGGUGGCUCUGGGGAGUGAAUCAGUUGGUUCCGGCAUACUCGGCAGGUGGUUCCGGCGUGUCCGGCACAUGCUUCUGGCAAGUGUGAGAGGUGGUUCCGGAAUGCCUGGCAGGUGAUUCCGGAGUGUUCGCCAAGUGGUUCUGGCGUAGCCGGCAGGUGAUUUUGCAUGUCCAGCGGGGGUUCCGGAUAGUCGAGCCGGUGGUUCCGGUGUGUCCGGCAGGUGGUUCCGGUCUGUCCGGCAGGUGGUUCUGGCGUGUCCGGCACGAGGUUCUGGCACAUCUGAGAGGUGGUUCCGGCAUGCCCGACAGGUGAUUCCGGAGUGUCCGCCACGUGGUUCUGGCGUAGCCUGCAGGUGAUUUUGGCGUCUUAGGCAGGUGGUUCUGGGGAGUGCAUAAGGAACUUCAGGCAUUCUCGCAGGUGCUUCCGCCGUCUCCGGCAUGUGUUUGUGGCACCUCUGAGAGGUGGUUCCAGCAUGCCCGUCAGGUGACUCCGGAGUGUCCGCCAAGUGGUUCUGGUGUAGCUGGCACGUGAUGUUGGCGUGACCGGCAGGUGGUUCCAACAAGCCCGGCAGGUGAUGCCGAAGUGUUCACCAACUGGUUGUGUGGUAGCCGGCAGGUGAUUUUGGCGUGUCAGGUAGGUGGUUCUGGCGAGUCAAGCAGGUUGUUCUGGUGUGCUCAGCAGGUGGUUCAGGCGGGUCUGGCAGGUGGUUUCGGUCUGUUCGGGGUGUGUUUCCGGCAUCUCAGGCACAUGGUUCUGGCACGUCUGAGAGGUGGUUCCGGACAGCCAGACAGGUGUUUCUGGAGUGUCCGCCAAGUGGUUCUGGCGUAGCUGGCAGUUGAUGUUGGUGUGACCGGCAGGUGGUUCCAGCAAGCCCGGCAGGUGAUUCCGAACUGUUCACCAACUGGUUGUGGUGUAGCCGGCAGGUGAUUUUCGCAUGUCCAGCCGGUGGUUCUGGCGAGUCGAGCAGGUGGUUCCAGCGUUCUCAGCAGGCUCUUCUUCUGUCAUUGGCAUGUGGUUCUGGCAAGUCUGAGAGGUGGUUCCAGCAUGCCCAGCAUCUGAUUCGGAGUGUCCGACAAGUGGUUGUGGCAUAGCCGGCUGCUGAUUUGGAUUGUCCGGCAUGUGGUUCCGGUCUGUCCUGGAGGUGGUUGCGGAGUGUCGGCCGAGUGGUUCUGGCAUAGCCGACAGGUGAUUUUGACGUGUCCAGCAGGUGUUCCUGGGGAGUGGAUAAGGUGGUCCCGGCAUACUGGGCAUGUGGUACCAGCAUGUCCGGAACAUGGUUAUGGCAAGUCUGAGAGGUGGCUCCGGCAUGCCCGACAGGUGAUUCCGGAGAGUCCGCCAAGUGGUUCUGUCGUACCCGGCAGGUGAUUUUGGCGUGCCCGGCACGUGGUUCUGACGAGUCAUGCAGGUGGUACCGGUGUGCUCGGCAGGUGCUUCCAGUGUCAUUGGCAUGUGGUUCUGGCAUGUCUGAGAGGUGGUUCCGGCAUGCCCGGAAGGUGAUUCGGGAUUGUUCACAGAGUGGUUCUGGCGUAGCCGGCAGCUGAUUUUGCAUGUCCUGUGGUGGUUCCGGCGAAUCGAGCCGGUGGUUCCGGCGUGUCUGGCAGGUGGUUCUGGUCUGUCGUGGAGGUGUUUCCGGAGUGUCUGCCGUGUGGUUCUGGCAUAGCCGACAGGUGAUUUUGGCGUGUACAGCAGGUGGUUCUGGGGAGUCGAACAGGAGGUUCCGGCAUACUCGGCAGGUGGUACCGGCGUGUCCGGAACAUGGUUCUGGCACGUCUGAGAGGUUGUGUCAGCAUGCCCUUCACGUGAUUCUGGCUGGUCCGCCAAAUGGUUCUGGUGUAGCAGGCUGGUGAUUUUGGCGUGUCCGGCAGGUGGGACCAGUGAGUCAAGCAGGUGGUUCCGGCGAGUGUUUCCUGUGUUUGCGGUCUGUCCGAGAGAUGGUUCCGGCCUGUCCGGCAAGUGCUUCUGGCACUUCUGAGAGGUUGUUCUGGCAUGCCCGGCAGGUUAUUCUGGAGUGUCCGCCAAGUGGUCCUGGCAUAACCGGCACAUGAUUUUGGCGUGUCCCACAGGCGGUUCUGUGGAGUGGAGCAGGUGGUUCUGGCAUACUCGGCAGGUGGUACCGGCGUGUCCGGAACAUGUUUCUGGCAAGUCUGAGAGGUGGUUCCGGCAUGCCCGACAGGUGAUUCCGGAGUGUCCGGGAUGUGGUUCUGGCACCUCUGAGAGGUGGUUCCUGCAUGCCAGACAGGUGAUUCUGGAGUGUCCGCUGAGUGGUUCUGGCGUACCUGGCAGGUGAUUUUGGCGUGUCCGGCAGGUGUUUCUUGCGAGUCGAGCAGGUGGCUCAGGCAUGCGCAGCAGGUGCUUCCGGCGUGUCGGGCACAUGAUUCUGGUGUGUCUGAGAGCUGGUUCUUGCAUGUCCGGCAGAUGAUUCCGGAGUUUCCACCAAGUGGUUCUGGCAUACCCGGCAGUUGAUUUUGGCGUGUCAGGUAGGUGGUUCCGGCGAGUCGAGGAGGUCGUUCCGGCGUGCUCAGCAGGUGGUUCAGGCGGGUCUGGCAGGUGGUUUCUGUCUGUUCGGGGUGUGGUUCUGGCAUCUCAGGCACAUGGUUCUGGCUCGUCUGAGAGUUGUUUCCCUUCGGCCGGACAGGUGUUUCCGGAGUGUCCGCCAAGUGGUUCUGGCGUAGCUGGCUGGUGAUGUUUGCGUGACCGGCAGGUGAUUCCGAAGUAUUCACCAACUGAUUGUGGCCUAGCCGGCAGGUGAUUUUGGCGUGUCUGGCAGGUGGUUCUGGCGAGUCGAGCAGGUGGUUCCAGCGUGCUCGGCAGGUGCUUCCGGUGUCAUUGGCAUGUGGUUCUGGCAUGUCUGAGAGGUGGUUCUGGCAUGCCCGGCAGGUGAUUCCGGAGUGUUCGCCAAAUGGUUCUGGGGUAGCCGGCAGGUGAUUUUGCAUGUCCGGCGGUGGUUCCUGCCAGUCGAGCCGGUGGUUCCGGCGUGUCGGGCAGGUGGUUCCGGUGUGUCCGGCAGGUGGUUCUGGGGUUUCCGGCACGAGUUUCUGGCACGUCUGAGAGGUUGUGUCGGCAUGCCCUUCACGUGAUUCCGGCUUGUCCGUCAAGUGGUUCUGGUGUAGCCGGCAGGUGAUUUUGGCGUGUCAGGUAAGUGGUUCCGGCGAGUCGAGCAGGUGGUUGCAGCAUGCUUGGCAGGUGGUUCUGGUUUGUCUGGCAGGUGGUUUCCGUCUGUUGGGGUGUGCUUCCGGCAUCUCAGACACAUGGUUCUGGCACGUCUGAGAGGUGGUUCCGGCCGGCCCGACAGGAGUUUCCGGAGUGUCCGCCAAGUGGUUCUGGCGUAGCUGACAGGUGAUGUGGGUGUGACCGGCAGGUGUUUCCAGCCAGCCCGGCAGGUGAUUCCGAAGUGUUCACCAACUGGUUGUGGCGUAGCCGGCACGUGAUUUUGGCAUGUCCGGCAGGUGGUUCUGGCAAGUCGAGCAGGUGGUUCUGGCGUGCUCGGCAGGUGCUUCUGGUGCCAUUGACAUGGGGUUCUGGCAUAUCUGAGAGGUGCUUUCGCCAUGCCUGGUAGGUGAUUCCGGAGUGAUCGCCAAGUGUUUCUGGCGUAGCCGGCAGGUGAUUUUGCAUAUCCGGCGGUGGUUCUGGCGAGUCGAGCCGGUGGUUCCGGCGUUUCCGGCAGGUGGUUCCGGUCUGUCCUGGAGGUGUUUCCGGAGUGUCUUCCUAGUGGUUCUGGCAUAGCCGGCAGGUGAUUUUGGCGUGUCCAGCAGGUUUUUUUGGGGAGUGGAUCAGGUGGUUCUGGCAUACUCGGCAGGUGGUACCGGCGUGUCCGGAACAUAGUUCUGGCACGUCUGAGAGGUUGUGUCAGCAUGCCCUUCACGUGAUUCCGGCUUGUCCGCCAAGUGGUUCUGGUGUACUGGGCAGGUGAUUUUGGCGUGUCUGGCAGGUGGGACCGGUGAGUCAAGCAGGUGGUUCUGGCGAGUGUUUCCUGUGGUUCCGGUCUGUCCGGGAGAUGGUUCCGGCCUGUCCGGCACGUGCUUCUGGCACUUUUGAGAGUUUGUGCUGGCAUGCCCGGCAGGUGAUUCUGGAGUGUCCGUCAAGUGGUUCUGGCGUAGCCGGCCCGUGAUUUUGGCAUGUCCGGCAGGUGGUUCUGUGGAGUGGAGCAGGAACUUCUGGCAUUCUCGGCAGGUGCGUCCGCCGUCUCCGGCAUGUGUUUGUGGUACCUCUGAGAGGUGGUUCCAGCAUGCCCAGAAGGUGAUUCCGGAGUGUCCGACAAGUGGUUGUGGCGUAGCCAGCUGGUGAUUUUGGCGUUUCCGGCACGUGGUUCUGACGAGUCAAGCAGGUGGUCCCGGCGUGUCCGGUCGGUGGUUCCGGUAUGUCCUGGAGUUGGUUGCGGAGUGCUCGGGAGGUCCUUCCGGUGUCAUUGGCAUGUGGUUCUGGCAUGUCUGAGAGGUGGUUCCGGCAUGCCCGGCCGGUGAUUCCGGAGUGUUCGCCAAGUUGUUCUGGCAUAGAGGGCAGGUGAUUUUUUCGUGUCAGGUAGGUGGUUCUGGUGAGUUGAGCAGGUGGUUCCGGCGUGCUUGGCAGGUGCUUCUGGUGCCAUUGACAUGUGGUUCUGGCAUGUCUGAGAGGUGGUUCCGGCGUGUCUGGCACGUGCUGCUGGUAUGUCUCAGUGGUGGGUCCUGCAUGCCCGGCCGGUGAUCCCGGAGAUUCCUCCAAGUGAUUCUGUCAUAACCGGCAGGUGAUUUUGGCAUGUUCAGCUGGUGGUUCCAGCCUGGUCGGCAGGUGCUUCCGGCGUCUCCAGCACGUGUUCCUGGCACAUCCGACAGGUGGUUCCGGCAUGCCCGAAAGGUGAUUCCGGUCUGUCCGGUAGGUCGUUCCGGAGUGCACAGCACGUGGUUCUGGUAGGUCUCAGAGGUGGUUGCGCAUGCCCAACAGGUGAUUCCGGAGUGUCCGGCAAGUGGUUCUGGCGUACCCGGAGGUGUUUUUGGUGAGUCCGGCAGGUAAUUCCGGAGUGUCAGGUAAGUGGUUCUGGUGUAUCUGGCAGAUCAUUUUGGCGCGUCCGGCACGUGGGUCCUGCAAGUCGAGCAGGUGGUUCCGGCAUGCUCGGCAGGUGGUCCAGGCGUGUCCGGCAGGUGGUUGCAGUCUGUCCAGGACGUGGUUCCAGCGUGUCCGGCACGUGGUUCUGUUACGUCUGAGAAGUGGUUCCUGCAUGCCCGGCAGGUGAUUCCGGACUGUCCACCAGGUGGUUCCCGCAUAGCCAGCUGUUGAUUUUGGACUGUCCGGCAGGUGGUUCCGGCGAGUCGAGCAGGUGGCUCCGGCGUGCUCAGCAGGUGGUUCCGGUCUGUCCGGUAGGUGUUUCCGGCGUGUCCGGCACGUGCUUCCAGCACGUCUGAGAGGUGGUUCCGCCAUGCGCGGCAGGUGAUUCUGGAGUGUCCGCCAGGUGGUUCUGGCGUACACGGCAGGUGAUUUUGGCGUGUCCGGCAGGUGUUUCUGGUGAGUCAAGCAGGUGGAUCCGGCAUGCUCGGCAGGUGCUUCCGGCGUGUCCGGCACGUGGUUCUGGUGUGUCUGAGAGCUGGUUCCGCCAUGUCCGGCACAUGAUUCCGGAGUGUCCGCCAAGUGGUUCUGGUGGAGCCGACAGGUGAUUUUGGCAGGUCCAGCAGGCGGGUCCUGCGUGUCGAGCAGGUGGUUCCUGCAUGCUCGGCAAGUGGUUCCGGCGUGUCCGGCAGGUUCUUCUGGUCUGUCUGGGAGCUGGUUCCUGCAUGGCUGGCAUGUUGUUCUGGCACGUCUGUGAGGUGCUUCGGGCGUGCCCGGCAGGUGAUCCCUGGGUGUCCGCCAAGUGGUUCUGGCGUCACCGGCAGGUUAUUUUGGUGUGUCCGGGAGAUCUUUCCUGCUUUUUGGGCUCGUGGCUCUGGCUUGUAAGACAGGUGCUUGUGGCAUUUCUGGCCCCCGUUCUUACAUACUCCUCAGCUGGUUUCAGUGUUUCUGGCACAUGUUUGCGGCAUAUCCAACAGGUGUUUACAAUGUGUCUGGCAUGUCGUUGUGCUGUGUUUGGAAUCAGGUUCGGUCAUGUCAUUGUGUGUGGCUGGCAUGUUGAAGAGAUGGUUCUGCAGUCUCAGAAUCGUUGUUCCACUGUGUCCGGCAGGUGGUUACAGGUGGUUCUGGCAUGCAACGUGGGUGCUUCUGGUAUGCCUGUUGGGUCGUACAGGCAUGAAUGUGUGGCUUUUUGAGAGUGUGCAGAGAGUGUUUUUGGCAUGUCUCCCGGGGUUUUCUGGCACAUAAAGGGCAUGAUUCCUUUUUAUACGUCAGGUGAGUUUGUUCUCAGCUUCCUAAAGAGAUGGAAGAAAGAUGGUCUGUGGCUUGUGGCCCCUUGAGGGGUGGAGCCAAUGCAUUGUGCAUUCCACGUCUAGAGCAAUGGAGGGCAUGGUUGAGAGCAAAAGGGUCUUUCUGACAUAGCUGCAUUCUGAGACUCUCUCCACCAGUGCACAAUGGUGGUUGGAAAAAGGUUUACAGUCUAUCGCCUCCUGAGCAGGUGGAUGCUAAAUCAUUUGGGACUCAGCCCAGUUGCUUCAGGGGAAGAUGUAGGCAUUUCAUCUGAGCAAGGUUGGCAAGGUAGAAUUGCAGCAGUGGCAGAAGUCCUAAAGCGGCAAAUUAAGUGCUGGGAAGAAAUGGCGUUUGAGCUGACUUUGUAUGAGAGUUUCCUCGUAUGCUGUAACAGCACUGUGGAAAGCGAGAUCUUUCUCAGCUUCCUACAGAGCUGGAAGCAGGACAGUUGAUGGCUUGUCUCCAAUUGAAGGAUGGAGAUAGUGCUUUGUGCCUUCCACCUCUGGAGCAAUGGAGGUCAUGGCUGAGAGCAAAGGGCCCUUUCUGACAUAGGUGCACUCUGACACUCUCAGCACCAGUGCACAAUGGCGGUUUGUAAAAAGCCUAUUGUCUGCUCCUGCUAAGCAUGUGGAAGCAGAAUCAUCUGGGCCUCGUGCCCGUUGCUGAAGGGGAAGAUGUAGGCAUUUUGUCUGAGCCAGGUUGCCAAGGUGGAAAUGUGCAGGAUGCAGAAGUCCCAGACUGGGGUGUGAAGUGAUGAAGGAAACGGUGUUCAGCCUCCUUUGUAUGAGAUGUUCCCAGGACGCUGUAAGGGCACUGUGGAAAGGGAGUUUUUUCUCAGCUUCCUACAGAGCUGGAAGCAGGACAAGAUGUUGUUUGUCUCCUAUUGAGGGGUGGAUCCAGAGCCAGUGCCUUGUGCCUUCCACCUGUAGAGCAAUGAAGGGCACGGCUGUGAGCAAAGGGGCCUUUCUGACAUAGCUUCUUUACGAAAAUCUCUCCAGCAGUGCACAUUGGUGGUUGGAAAAAGGCGUGCAGUCUAUCGCCUCCUAAGCACGUGGACGCUCAAUCAUUUGGGACUCAGCCCAGUUGCUUCAGGGGAAGAUGUAGGCAUUUCGUCUGAGCCGGAUUGGCAAGGUGGAAUGGCGGCAGAAGCAGAAGUCCUAAAGCUGCGAGUUAAGCACUGGGAAGAAAUGGCGUUUGAGCUGCCUUUGUAUGAGAGGUACCUGGUAUGCUGUAAGGGGACUGUGGAAAGCGAGUUGUUCGUCAGCUUCCUAAAGAGCUGGAGGCAAGACAAUAUAUGGCUUGUCUCCCAUUGAAGGAUGGAGGCAGUGCUUUGUGCCUUCCACCUGCAGAGCAAUGGAGGGCACAGCUGAGAGCCAAGGGGGCUUUCUGCCAUAGGUGCUUUCUGAUCCCCUUCAGGGGUGGUGCCAGUGCCUUGUGCCUCCUACCUCUAGAGGAAUGGAGGGCACGGCCGAGAGUAAAGGGCCUUUCCGACAUUGGUGCCUUCUGACACUCCCCAAACCACUGCUCAAGGUCGGUUGGUUAAAAGCCCAUUGUCUGUCUCCUCCUCAGCAUGUGGAACCACAAUCAUCCGGGCGUCGUCCCCAUUGCUCAAGGGGAAGAUGUAGGCAUUUUGUCUGAGCCGGGUUGGCAAGAUGGAAAUGUGGCAGAAGCGGAUGUUGCAGAUUGGUGAGUUAAGGGCUGAAAUGACACGGCGUUAAGUUGUCUUUGUAUGUGAUGUUCCCAGGAUGCUGUAAGAGCACUGUGAAAUGCGAGUGCCUUCCCAGCUUCCUAAAGAGCUGGAAGGAGGACAGUUUAUUGCUUUUCUCCAAUUGAAGGAUGGAGGCAGUGCUUUGUGCCUUCCACCUCUAGAGCAAUGGAGGGCACGUCUGAGAUGAAAGGGACCUUUCUGACAUAGGUGCAUUGUGACACCCUCUGCACCAGUGCACAAUGGCAGUUUGUAAAAAGCCUAUUGUCUCCUCUUGCUAAACAUGUGGAGGCACAAUCAUCUGGGCCUCGUUCCCGUUGCUGAAGGGGAAGAUGUAGGCAUUUUGUCUGAGCCGGGUUGGCAAGGUGUAAAUCUGGCAAGCAGAAGUUCUAAAUCAGCGAGUUAAGCGCUGAAAAGAAACGGCAUAUCAGCAGCCUUUGUAUGAGAUGUUGCCAGGACACAGAAAGAGCACUGGUGAAAGCGAGUUCUUUCUCAGCUUCCUAAAGAGAUGGAAGGAAGAUGGCCUGUGGGUUGUGGAACUUUGAGGGGUAGAGCCAGUGCAUUGUGCAUUCCACGUCUAGAGCAAUGGAGGGCAGAGCUGAGAGCAAAGGGGUCUUUCUGACACAGCUGCUUUCCAACACUCUCUCCACCAGUGCACAAUGGAGGUUGGAAAAAGGCGUGCAGUCUAUCACCUCCUAAGCACGUGGACGCUCAAUCAUUUUGGACACAGCCCAGUUGCUUCAGGGGAAGAUGUAGGCAUUUCGUCUCACCGGGUUGGCAAGGUGGAAUUGCGGCAGAAGCAGAAGUCCUAAAGCGGCGAGUUAAGCACUGGUAAGAAAUGGCGUUUGAGCUGCAUUUGUAUGAGUGUUUCCUCAUAUGCUUAAACAGCACUGUGGAAAGCGAGUUCUUUCUCAGCUUCCUAAAGAGCUGGAAGCAAGACAGUUUAUGGCUUGUUUCGCAUUGAAGGAUUGAGGCAGUCCUUUGUGCCUUCCAGCUCUAGAGCAAUGGAGGGCAUGGCUGAGAGCAAAGGGGUCUUUCUGCCAUUGGUGCUUUCUGACACUCUCUCAACCAUUGCACUUGGUGGUUAGUUAAAAGCCUAUUGUCUCUCUCCUCCUCAGCAUGUGGAACCACAAUCAUCCGGGCCUCGUCCCAAUUGCUCAAGGGGAAUCUGUAGGCAUUUCGUCUGAGCCGGGUUGGCAAGGUGGAAUUGUGGCAGAAGCAGAAGUUCUAAAGUGGCGAGCUAAGGCCUGGCAAGAAAGGCCGUUUGACCUUCAUUUGUAUGACAGUUUCCCCAUAGGAUUUUCCCAGGAGCCGAGCAGGUGUUUCUGGCAUUCUCGGCAGGAUGUUCGUGCGUGUCCGGCCGGUGGCUCCAGUCUGUCCAGGAUGUGGUUCCGGCGUGUCUGGCACGUGCUUCUGGUACGUCUCAGAGUUGGUUCCGGCAUGCCCGGCCGGUGAUCCCGGAGAGUCCUCCAAGUGAUUCUGGCAUUACCGGCAGGUGAUUUUGGCGUGUUCGGCUGGUGGUUCCAGCCUGGUCGGCAGGUGGUUCUGGCGUGUCCGGCACUUGGUUCUGGCACGUCUGAGACAUGGUUCCGGCAUGCCCACCAGGUGAUCCCGGAGAGUCCGACAAGUGGUUCAGGCCUAGCAGGCAGGUGAUUUUGGCGUGUCCGGCAGUUGUUUCUGGCGAGUCGAGCAGGUGGCUCCGGCAUGCUCGGCAGGUGCUUGCGGCGUCUCCGGCACGUGGUUCUGGUGUGUCUGAGAGCUGGUUCCCGCAUGUCCGGCAGAUGAUUCCGGAGUGUCCGCCAAGUGGUUCUGGCAUACCCGGCAGGUGAUUUUGGUGUGUCAGGUCGGUGGUUCCGGCGAGUCGAUCAGGUGGUUCCGGCGUGCUCGGCAGGUGGUUCAGGCGGGUCUGCCAGGUGGUUCCCGUCUGUUCAGGGUGUGGAUCCGGCAUCUCAUGCACAUGGUUCUGGCACAUCUGAGAUGUGGUUCCGGCCGGCCCGACAGGUGUUUCCGCAGUGUCCGCCAAGCGGUUCUGGCGUAGUUGGCAGGUGAUUUUGGCAUGACCGGCAGGUGGUUCCAGCAAGCCCGGCAGGUGAUUCCGAAGUGUUCACCAACUGGUUGGGGCGUAGCCGUCUGGUGACUUUUGCGUGUCCGGCAGGUGGUUCUGGCGAGUCGAGCAGGUGGUUCCGGUGUGCUCGGCAGGUGCUUCCGGGGUCACUGGCAUAUUGUUCUGGCAUGUCUGAGAGGUGGUUCCGGCAUGCCCGGCAGGUGAUUCCGGAGUGUUCGCCAAGUGGUUCUGGCAUAGCUGGCAGGUGAUUUUGCAUGUCCGGCGGUGGUUCCGGCGGGUCGAGCCGGUGGUUCUGGCGUGUCCGGCAGGUGGUUGCGGUCUGUCCGGCAGGUGGUUCUGGGGUGUCCGGCACGAGGUUCUGGCACGUUUGAGAGGCUGUGCCGGCAUGCCCCUCACGUGAUUCCGGCUUGUCCCCCAAGUGGUUCUGGUGUAGCUGGCAGGCAAUUUGGGCAUGUCCUGCAGGUGGGACCGGUGAGUCAAGCAGGUGGUUCCGGGGAGUGUUUCCUGUGGAUCCGGUCUGUCCGGGAGAUGGUUCCGGCCUGUCCGGCACGUGCUUCUGGCACUUCUGAGAGGUUGUGCUGGCAUGCCCGGCAGGUGGUUCCGGAGUGUCCUCCAAGUGGUUCUGGCGUAGCCGUCAGGUGAUUUUGCCAUGUCCGGCAUGUGGUUGCAGCGAGUCGAGCAUGUGUUUCCGGCGUCCUCGACAGUUGGUUCAGGCACGUCCGGCAGGUUGUUCCGGUCUGUCCUGGAGUUGGUUCCGGCGUGUCCGGCACGUGGUUCAGGCGAGUUGAGCAGGUGGUUUUGACGUGCUCGGCAGGUGCUUCCGGCGUCUCCGGCACGUGUUUCUGGCACAUCUGACAGGUGGUUCCGGCCUGCCCGAAAGGUGAUUCCCGUCUUUCCGGUAGGCGGUUCCGGCGUGCACAGCUCGUGGUUCUGGUACAUCUCAGAGGUGGUUGCGCAUGCCCAACAGGUGAUGCCGGAGUGUCGGGUAGUGGUUCUGGUGUAGCCGGCAGUUCAUUUUGGCGUGUCCGGCACGUGGGUCCUGCGAGUCGAGCAGGUGGUUCCGGCGUGCUCGGCAGGUGGUCCAGGCGUGUCCAGCAGGUGGUUCCAGUCUGUCCAGGACGUGCUUCUAGCGUGUCUGGCACGUGGUUCUGUUACGUCUGAGUGGUGGUUCCUGCAUGCCCGGCAGGUGAUUCCGGACUGUCCGCCAGGUGGGUCCCGCAUAGCCAGCUGUUGAUUUUGGCCUGUCCGGCAGGUGGUUCCGGCAUGCUCGGCAGGUGGUUUCGGUCUGUCCGGUAGUUGUUUCCAGCGUGUCCGGCACGUGCUUCCGGCACGUCUGAGAGGUGGUUCCGGCAUGCACGGCAGGUGAUUCUGGAGUGUCCGCCAGGUGGUUCUGGCGUACCCAGCAGGUGAUUUUGGCAUGUCAGGUAGGUGGUUCCGGCAAGUCGAGCAGGUGGUUCCGGCGUGCUCGGCAGGUUGUUCAGCUGGGUGUGGCAGGUCCCUCUAAGAAGUUGGGGGACGCCGACCGCUCGGGGGUCGCGUAACUAGUUAGCAUGCCAGAGUCUCGUUCGUUAUCGGAAUUAACCAGACAAAUCGCUCCACCAACUAAGAACGGCCAUGCACCACCACCCACGGAAUCGAGAAAGAGCUAUCAAUCUGUCAAUCCUGUCCGUGUCCGGGCCGGGUGAGGUUUCCCGUGUUGAGUCAAAUUAAGCCGCAGGCUCCACUCCUGGUGGUGCCCUUCCGUCAAUUCCUUUAAGUUUCAGCUUUGCAACCAUACUCCCCCCGGAACCCAAAGACUUUGGUUUCCCGGAAGCUGCCCGGCGGGUCAUGGGAAUAACGCCGCCGCAUCGCCAGUCGGCAUCGUUUAUGGUCGGAACUACGACGGUAUCUGAUCGUCUUCGAACCUCCGACUUUCGUUCUUGAUUAAUGAAAACAUUCUUGGCAAAUGCUUUCGCUCUGGUCCGUCUUGCGCCGGUCCAAGAAUUUCACCUCUAGCGGCGCAAUACGAAUGCCCCCGGCCGUCCCUCUUAAUCAUGGCCUCAGUUCCGAAAACCAACAAAAUAGAACCGCGGUCCUAUUCCAUUAUUCCUAGCUGCGGUAUCCAGGCGGCUCGGGCCUGCUUUGAACACUCUAAUUUUUUCAAAGUAAACGCUCCGGGCCCCGCGGGACACUCAGCUAAGAGCAUCGAGGGGGCGCCGAGAGGCAAGGGGCGGGGACGGGCGGUGGCUCGCCUCGCGGCGGACCGCCCGCCCGCUCCCAAGAUCCAACUACGAGCUUUUUAACUGCAGCAACUUUAAUAUACGCUAUGAAGCUGGAAUUACCGCAGCUGCUGGCACCAGACUUGCCCUCAAUGGAUGCUCGCGAAAGGAUUUAAAGUGGACUCAUUCCAAUUACAAGGGCCUCGAAAGAGUCCUGUAUUGUUAUUUUUCGUCACUACUCCCCGGGUCGGGAGUGGGUAAUUUGCGCGCCUGCUGCCUUCCUUGGAUGUGGUAGCCGUUUCUCAGGCUCCCUCUCCGGAAUCGAACCCUGAUUCCCCGUCACCCGUGGUCACCAUGGUAGGCACAGCGACUACCAUCGAAAGUUGAUAGGGCAGACGUUCGAAUGGGUCGUCGCCGCCACGGGGGGCGUGCGAUCGUCCCGAGGUUAUCUAGAGUCACCAAAACCGGCCGGCGCCCGCCCCCGGCCGGGGCCGGGAGGAGGCUGACCGGGUUGGUUUUGAUCUGAUAAAUGCACGCAUCCCCCCUGUGAAGGGGGUCAGCGCCCGUCGGCAUGUAUUAGCUCUAGAAUUACCACAGUUAUCCAAGUAGGAGAGGAGCGAGCGACCAAAGGAACCAUAACUGAUUUAAUGAGCCAUUCGCAGUUUCACUAUACCGGCCGUGCGUACUUAGACAUGCAUGGCUUAAUCUUUGAGACAAGCAUAUGCUACUGGCAGGAUCAACCAGGUAGGAGCGCGAGGGAGCCGGGAAGAGGCCGCGCACGCGCGCGCGCACA